GAGAAAGCAGAGGAACAAACAUCGCUCAAUAGCUGCCACUAAUAUAUCCCUGCCCUGGAUUCCAUCCCUCCUCCUGUUCCUGCUUCUCUUCCCCCAUUUCUCUUCUCCCCAACCUCUGUUCUCCUCCUCCUCUUUCUCCAUUAAUCUAGUACCCUUCCACUUUGAACAAAGUAUUUUCUGACUUUCUUAUUUUCUUGUUCUCUCUCUCUCUCUGUCUCUGAGUUAUGCACGCAUGCUCAUGUAUAUGCAGCACUGGACAGCCUAGACCAUCAUCAGCAUGUGCCUGGACACAGGAAUGACACACCAAUACCUCCGUGUGAGAAAGCGUGGCAGGGGUCUUCUUUGAGGCCCAGGCUAGCCUGGUCUUCACCUCCCUGCUUUCACCUCUGGGUCCCAGGAUUACAGGAGCAUGCCACCAUGCCAGUCUUCUGAGUCAGCAACGUGGAGCUCUGAGCCCAUGAAGCUGGAGAAAGAGCAGAAUCCUAGAAGAAGGACUGAAAUGAAGGAUGCAAUCAGCUCUUAGACCUGAAUUUCAGACACUGCCCUCUCCUACCACUGAAGCCCCACCAAAGGAGACACCCUACUCUGCCAGAGACUCUACUGGGAAUUCCAGCUGGUUGCCUUCACAGGGUUUCUGCACAGCUCAUGGUCAUGAUGCCUGUUUGCUUUCUAACAAGAGACAAAUGGAUGAGGAGAUGUGUGGAGGAUCUCAGAAGAGUUGGGGGAAGGGAAAUCAUAAUAAGAAUAUUUGCAUAAAAUAUAUUUUCA